rnacentral:tRNA from 1 species
GGCCCGUUGGUCAAGUGGUUAAGCCACCGCCCUUUCACGGCGGUAACACCGGUUCGAAUCCCGUACGGGUCACCU